rnacentral:rRNA from 1 species
GCUACACAUGCAGUCGAACGGUAGCACAGAGAGCUUGCUCUCGGGUGACGAGUGGCGGACGGGUGAGUAAUGUCUGGGAAACUGCCUGAUGGAGGGGGAUAACUACUGGAAACGGUAGCUAAUACCGCAUAAUGUCGCAAGACCAAAGAGGGGGACCUUCGGGCCUCUUGCCAUCAGAUGUGCCCAGAUGGGAUUAGCUAGUAGGUGGGGUAACGGCUCACCUAGGCGACGAUCCCUAGCUGGUCUGAGAGGAUGACCAGCCACACUGGAACUGAGACACGGUCCAGACUCCUACGGGAGGCAGCAGUGGGGAAUAUUGCACAAUGGGCGCAAGCCUGAUGCAGCCAUGCCGCGUGUAUGAAGAAGGCCUUCGGGUUGUAAAGUACUUUCAGCGGGGAGGAAGGUGGUGAGGUUAAUAACCUCAUCAAUUGACGUUACCCGCAGAAGAAGCACCGGCUAACUCCGUGCCAGCAGCCGCGGUAAUACGGAGGGUGCAAGCGUUAAUCGGAAUUACUGGGCGUAAAGCGCACGCAGGCGGUCUGUCAAGUCGGAUGUGAAAUCCCCGGGCUCAACCUGGGAACUGCAUUCGAAACUGGCAGGCUAGAGUCUUGUAGAGGGGGGUAGAAUUCCAGGUGUAGCGGUGAAAUGCGUAGAGAUCUGGAGGAAUACCGGUGGCGAAGGCGGCCCCCUGGACAAAGACUGACGCUCAGGUGCGAAAGCGUGGGGAGCAAACAGGAUUAGAUACCCUGGUAGUCCACGCCGUAAACGAUGUCGACUUGGAGGUUGUGCCCUUGAGGCGUGGCUUCCGGAGCUAACGCGUUAAGUCGACCGCCUGGGGAGUACGGCCGCAAGGUUAAAACUCAAAUGAAUUGACGGGGGCCCGCACAAGCGGUGGAGCAUGUGGUUUAAUUCGAUGCAACGCGAAGAACCUUACCUACUCUUGACAUCCAGAGAACUUAGCAGAGAUGCUUUGGUGCCUUCGGGAACUCUGAGACAGGUGCUGCAUGGCUGUCGUCAGCUCGUGUUGUGAAAUGUUGGGUUAAGUCCCGCAACGAGCGCAACCCUUAUCCUUUGUUGCCAGCGGUUAGGCCGGGAACUCA